GUAGGUGGCAAGCGUUGUCCGGAAUUAUUGGGCGUAAAGCGCGCGCAGGCGGUUCUUUAAGUCCGAUGUGAAAGCCCACGGGCUCAACCGUGGAGGGUCAUUGGAAACUGGAGAACUUGAGUACAGAAGAGGAAAGCGGAAUUCCACGUGUAGCGGUGAAAUGCGUAGAGAUGUGGAGGAACACCAGUGGCGAAGGCGGCUUUCUGGUCUGUAACUGACGCUGAGGCGCGAAAGCGUGGGGAGCAAACAGGAUUAGAUACCCUGGUAGUCCACGCCGUAAACGAUGAGUGCUAAGUGUUAGGGGGUUCCGCCCCUUAGUGCUGCAGCUAACGCAUUAAGCACUCCGCCUGGGGAGUACGGCCGCAAAGGCUG
rnacentral:rRNA from 1 species